AACGAACGCUGGCGGCAUGCCUAACACAUGCAAGUCGAACGAAACCUUCGGGUCUAGUGGCGCACGGGUGCGUAACGCGUGGGAACCUGCCCUUAGGUUCGGAAUAACUCCCCGAAAGGGGUGCUAAUACCGGAUAAUGUCUUCGGCCCAAAGAUUUAUCGCCUUUGGAUGGGCCCGCGUUGGAUUAGCUAGUUGGUAGGGUAAAAGCCUACCAAGGCGACGAUCCAUAGCUGGUCUGAGAGGAUGAUCAGCCACACUGGGACUGAGACACGGCCCAGACUCCUACGGGAGGCAGCAGUGGGGAAUAUUGGACAAUGGGCGAAAGCCUGAUCCAGCAAUGCCGCGUGAGUGAUGAAGGCCUUAGGGUUGUAAAGCUCUUUUACCCGGGAUGAUAAUGACAGUACCGGGAGAAUAAGCUCCGGCUAACUCCGUG
rnacentral:rRNA from 1 species